AUCCAGGUGACAGGUCCCAACUAGGACGAAAUGUGCAUCCUGGAU
rnacentral:hammerhead_ribozyme from 1 species